rnacentral:rRNA from 1 species
GAUCCUGGCUCAGGAUAAACGCUGGCGGCGCACAUAAGACAUGCAAGUCGAACGAACUUAACCAUUAGUUUACUAUUGGAGCGGUUAGUGGCGGACUGGUGAGUAACACGUAAGCAACCUGCCUAUCAGAGGGGAACAACAGUUAGAAAUGACUGCUAAUACCGCAUAUGCCUUAGAAUCACAUGGUUCAAAAGGGAAAGGAGUAAUCCGCUGAUAGAUGGGCUUGCGUCUGAUUAG